CUUUUUCUGCUCAUGUGGUAGAUGAAUUAUUCAUACUUCAACUCCUUCUCCAAGUGAGGAUAGGCUAACUUCAGGUGAUUUUGAAAAGACUUCAAACCAGCUGUCUGUAUUUGCAGACCACCUCAUACAGCCAGAUCCCCAGGUGAUAUCAUGGGCAGACUUCCACUCUACAGACAAAACCUCUGAUUUACAAAGGACGAGACAUCAUCAGGCUGGAACCCAUCAGCCUGUGCCCCUCCCUGCCUGACUCCAAGUGUUCAACAGCUAGACAUGUCCUACUAAUUAAAAUUUCCUAAGAGUUUGAGAAAACAAGUGCCUGGAUAGAAAAGGCAGCUCUCACCAGGGCCUCACUGAGGAAGAGGAUGGUGAGUAGAGUAACCCUUCACUAGAAAGUUCAUAAGGAGACUGGGUAGUGGGAGAGAGGGAGGCUGUGUAAGUGCUAAACAGGGAAGCUUCAGAAAGGAAGCUUCAUCCCAGGGAGCACCUCUGAGCACAGCCCAGAUCCCAAGCAAAUCUAUCUUCUCCAGUUCUGCUACUCCCCUGAUGACUUCUCUCCUACCUUGUGGGUAUCCCUUUCAAGGGCACCAGACUUUGCCAGAGACCUUGGUAUCACAGCUCCUUGCUAGCUGAGCUCCUCAAAGAGGUCUGCUUGAACUGCCAGAGCAUGGGCAAUGCCUUGGUCACAAGCUUUGUGGUAGUUGCACAGGCAGAGCCUGGCCCUUACCUCCCUCCCAGCCUCUCAUCAGAGAAUUCUGCAGGCUGAGCACAAGAUGGUAUUGCUUGUAGUGCUAAUGGACAGGCACCUGGCUCCCCAUGUUUCAGAGCUGAACUGGCAGUCAUGCUAUUAAAGGCUGGAUGGUUUUUAUGGCUUUGUGCAGGCAUGGGUAACAAACACAACUGAACCCUGGAUUUCAGAAAGAACGUCUGAUGUCCCAGCCCAAAGAAAUCCUCUGUUGCAUUACAUCACCCCACAGUGCGUUUGGUCUGAGCAUGUUGCAGAGGUCACUGUCUUUGCUCUCUUCGAUGGAUCAGUGUUAUGGAUACAUACUGUAAAUCUCAUGCUUGGAUACCUCUUGGAAAUAUUUCAAACAUACAAGCCCUGGGAAGAGGGGACUUUGCCAAGCAUACACAUUGUUCCCAGAGGGGGAGCUGUGUAUCUCCUACUACUGGAGCAGGGCGAGGGUCAGUGGUUUUGCAGAUCAGUUGCCCUCCUUGCAGGACCAAGGGGAGACCGAGCCAGACUGCCUGGCAAUCUGCAUGUUGGUGCCAACUUUCACAUGGAAUGACCAGAGGGGAGGUGUGACCGUGUAACUUUCUCUGGAUAUGUAAAACUUAACUCAUGGGUUAAGCUGAAGGUGCCUGCCUUUCCCUGCUGCCUAUUCCCAAGUUUCAGAUAGGUGAUGCUAAGAGCAGCAAAUCCUUCUCCUGGCAAGUGGUAGCUCUUACUCUGCAAACAAGCAUUUGUAUACCCCGGGCAGCCCUUGGGCAAUCAUCUUCUCACCCCAGUGACCAGCUGGGCUUACUGGAUGCAAAUCAGGCAGGACACACAGAAAAGACAGCUCAGCCCUCACUCUGCUCUGGCAGCCCUGUUGGGGGUUAGGCUCCAUGUAGGCACCCGAAUCAGUCUUGGAAACCAAGAAACUGGAAA